AUUGAACGCUAGCGGGAUGCUUUACACAUGCAAGUCGAACGAGUGGCGGACGGGUGAGUAAUAUAUCGGAACGUGCCCAGUAGAGGGGGAUAACUACUCGAAAGAGUGGCUAAUACUGCAUACUAUUGGAGCGGCUGAUAUUGGAGUAGCUAGUUGGGGGGGUAAAGGCUCACAAAGGCAACGAUCCGUAGCUGGUUUGAGAGGACGAACAGCCACAUUGGGACUGAGACACGGCCCAGACUCCUACGGGAGGCAGCAGUGGGGAAUUUUGGCCAAUGGGGGAAACCCUGAUCCAGCAAUCCCGCGUGUAUGAGAAGGCUUUCGGGUUGUAAAAUACUUUUGGCAGAGAAGCGGUAUCUGCAGAAUAAGCACCGGCUAACUACGUGCCAGCAGCCGCGGUAAUAC
rnacentral:rRNA from 1 species